rnacentral:lncRNA from 1 species
UUAAAUACAAAAGAUUCAAGCCAACUCAACCUAAAUCCAACCUAAGCAAUAGUCCAGUCCAUUUCGGACUAUAAAUAAAACCCAAAGUCCACAAAUAAAACCCCAAAAUUCAAAGUCCACAAAUUAAAUCCCAGAAUCCAAAAUCCAUAAAUAAAAUCCAAAACCUAAAGUCUGUCGGAUCGUUGGCGCUAACCAUUAAUCCAAAAGCUCGAGCUGUUGGAAAUACGCAACCAAUUCACUUAAAGCGUAUAGAAAUAGCGCUCACGGGUCUCGAUUGUGACUCGGCCCAACCAGCCUCACGCCACUUCGAAUAUGACUCGGCCCACCCAGCCUCACGCCAUUUCGAACAUGACUCGGCCGAACAUGGCCUUCCGCCACUGGGCAGGAUGCUGACCCAUUUAAGCCAACAAAGUCCAAAAAUAAAAUCCUAAAAUCCAAGGUCCACAAAUAAAACCUACGACCGCAAAAUCGCUAAACUAAACACAAAAUCAAACGACCGCAAAGUCGCUAAACUAAACAAUCAAAUCCAAACGACCAUAAAGUCGCUAAACUAAAUCCAAAUUCAAACGACCGUAAAGUUGCUAAACUACACCAAAAUUCAAACGACCGUAAAGUCGUUAAACUAAACCCAAAUCUAAACGACCUCAAAGUCGUUAAACUAACAAACCAUAAUCCAAAUGACCGUGAAAUCGUUAAACUAACAAACCCAAAUUCAAACGACCGCAAAGUCGUUAAACUAAACAAUCAAAUUCAAACGACCAUAAAGUCAUUAAACUAAAUCUAAAUUCAAACAACCGCAAAGUCGUUAAACUAAUAAACCCAAAUUCAAGCUGACCGCCACGUCGUUAAACUGAGCAAUUCAAAUCAAGCCGACCGCCAUGUCGUUAAACUGAACGACUCAACUCAAGCCGACUGUCACGUUGUUAAACUGGGCGACUCAAUUCAAGCCAACUACCACGUCAUUAAACUGAGCGACUCAACUCAAGCCGACCGCCACAUCGUUAAAAUAAGUGAUUCAACUUCAAACCGACCACCACGUCGUUAAAAUAAGCAACUCAACUCAAGCCGACCGCCAUGUCGUUAAAACUGAGCACCUCAAUCUCAAGCCGACUGCCAUGUCGUUAAACUGAGCACCUCAACCUCAAGCCGACCACCAUGUCAUUAAACUGAGCACCUCAACCUCAAACCGACUGCUAUGUCGCUAAACUGAGCAUCUUAACUUCAAGCCGACCACCAUGUCGCUAAACUAAGCAUCUCAACCUCAAGUCGAUCGUCAUGUCACUAAACUGAGCACCACAACCUCAAGUCGACCGCCAAGUCAUCAAACUGAACAAAUCAUUUCAAAUUCAAUGUGACUGCCAAAUUGUUAAACUGAGCAUUU